rnacentral:rRNA from 1 species
GAUGAACGCUAGCUACAGGCUUGACACAUGCAAGUCGAGGGGAAACGGCAUUUAGUGCUUGCACCGAAUGGACGUCGACCGGCGCACGGGUGAGUAACGCGUAUCCAACCUACCCAUUACUGUGGGAUAACCUGCCGAAAGGCAGACUAAUACCGCAUAGUCUUCGAUGACGGCAUCAGAUUUGAAGUAAAGAUUUAUCGGUAAUGGAUGGGGAUGCGUCUGAUUAGCUUGUUGGUGGGGUAACGGCCCACCAAGGCGACGAUCAGUAGGGGUUCUGAGAGGAAGGUCCCCCACAUUGGAACUGAGACACGGUCCAAACUCCUACGGGAGGCAGCAGUGAGGAAUAUUGGUCAAUGGGCGCGAGCCUGAACCAGCCAAGUAGCGUGCAGGAUGACGGCCCUAUGGGUUGUAAACUGCUUUUGUAUGGGGAUAAAGUCAAUCACGUGUGAUUGUUUGCAG